rnacentral:rRNA from 1 species
AUUGAACGCUGGCGGCAUGCCUUACACAUGCAAGUCGAACGGCAGCACGGGUGCUUGCACCUGGUGGCGAGUGGCGAACGGGUGAGUAAUAUAUCGGAACGUACCUUAUUGUGGGGGAUAACGCAGCGAAAGCUGUGCUAAUACCGCAUAAUCCCUAAGGGGGAAAGCGGGGGACCGUAAGGCCUCGCGCAAUUAGAGCGGCCGAUACCUGAUUAGCUAGUUGGUGAGGUAAAGGCUCACCAAGGCAACGAUCAGUAGCUGGUCUGGGGGGACGAUCAGCCACACUGGGACUGCGACACGGCCCAGACUCCUACGGGAGGCAGCAGUGGGGAAUUUUGGACAAUGGGGGCAACCCUGAUCCAGCAAUGCCGCGUGAGUGAAGAAGGCCUUCGGGUUGUAAAGCUCUUUUGUCAGGGAAGAAACAGCAGCUCUAACACAGUUUGCGAAUGACGGUACCUGAAGAAUAAGCACCGGCUAACUACGUGCCAGCCGCCGCCGUAA